rnacentral:rRNA from 1 species
AUUGAACGCUGGCGGCAGGCCUAACACAUGCAAGUCGAACGAGUGGCGGACGUGUGAGUAAUGUCUGGGCAACUGCCUGCUGGUGGGGGAUAACUAUUGGAACCGGUAGCUAAUCCCGCAUACCAUCAGAUGUGCCCCUCUGGGAUUAGCUUGUUGGUGGGGUAACGGCUCACCAAGGCGACGAUCCCUAGCUGGUCUUAGAGGAUGACCAGCCACACUGUAACUGAGAAACGGGCCAGACUCCUACGGGAGGCAGCAGUGGGGAAUAGUGCACAAUGGGCGCAAGCCUGAUGCAGCCAUGCCGGGUGUAUGAAGAAGGCCUUCGGGUUGUAAAGUACUUUCAGCGGGGAGGCGUUACCCGCAGAAGAAGCACCGGCUAACUCCGUGCCAGCAGCCGCGGUAAUAC